GGAAAGGUCGCCGCCGCCGCCGCGCGCCGCUUCCCCUUCCGGCCGCGCCGGAGCUCCUGUCAACAUGGCAGCGGCGGGCGGGCGGCGGCAGUGGCUGGUCUGGGCGGCAGUGGUUGCACAUGUGGUGGCAUCAGGUGCGGGGUUUGUGGAGGAUCUAGAUGAGUCGUUUAAAGAAAACCGUAAAGAUGAUAUUUGGCUUGUUGAUUUUUAUGCACCUUGGUGUGGCCACUGUAAGAAACUCGAGCCUGUGUGGAAUGAAGUGGGUAUAGAAAUGAAAAACAUGGGCUCUCCAGUAAAAGUUGGGAAGAUGGAUGCAACUUCUUUUUCUAGUAUUGCAUCUGAAUUUGGAGUGCGAGGCUAUCCAACAAUUAAGCUCUUAAAGGGUGACUUGGCAUACAACUAUAGAGGACCUAGAACUAAAGAUGAUAUAAUUGAAUUUGCUAAUAGAGUAGCAGGACCUCUUAUCAGGCCACUUCCUAGCCAGCAUAUGUUCGAGCAUGUGCAAAAGAGGCAUCGUGUACUUUUUGUGUAUGUUGGUGGUGAAUCUCCUUUAAAGGAAAAAUACAUUGAAGUUGCUUCAGAACUAAUAGUUUAUACAUACUUUUUUUCUGCCUCAGAAGAUGUGCUGCCUGAGCAUGUGACAUUACCUGAAUUGCCUGCUGUUGUGGUCUUCAAAGAUGGAACUUACUUUGUCUAUGAUGAGUAUGAAGAUGGUGACUUGUCAUCCUGGAUAAAUCGAGAAAGAUUUCAAGGUUAUCUUAAUGUAGAUGGCUUCACGCUGUAUGAACUUGGAGAUACAGGAAAACUUGUGGCUAUUGCAGUCAUUGAUGAUAAAAACUCUUCAAUGGAACAUACCAGACUAAAAUCUAUUAUUCAGGAAGUUGCUAGAGAUUAUCGGGAUCACUUUCACAGAGAUUUCCAGUUUGGCCAUAUGGAUGGAAAUGAUUACAUUAAUAGUUUACUAAUGGAUGAUGUGACAAUCCCUACUAUUGUGGUUCUGAAUACCUCAAAUCAGCAGUAUUUUCUACCAGAUAGACACAUUGAGAACACAGAAGACAUGGUUCAGUUUAUUAACAAUAUUUUGGAUGGUACAGCUGAAGGACUUAAGAUUGCGAGGUCUGAAGAAUGAACUUUUGGAAUCAUAACUGAAAAGUGUCAGCAGUUUUGACAUAGUUCCAUUUGAAAUUUCAGGCGCAGGGUGGUGAUGGACUUCUGCAACGAAUCAAGAGAAUAAUCUAUGAUGCCAAGUCUACCGUAGUGUCUGUAUUCAAGAGUUCACCACUGCUGGGAUGCUUUCUCUUUGGCUUGCCCUUGGGGGUCAUCAGCAUUAUGUGCUAUGGAAUCUGCACAGCGGAUACAGAUGGAGGGAUAGAUGAACAUGAGGCAGCUAAAAAGGAAAACGGUGAUCGGGAGCUCACAGAUGAAGGUAGUGAGGAAGAACAAGAGGAUGAAAAGAAUGGAAAAUAUACAGAACUUUCAGAUGGAGAGCUUAAACAGAAAGACAUAAUGGAAAAGAAAAAAGACUAACUUGUUUAGCAAAAUUAUUCUCUAGAAUUUCCAAAUAGACUUAUAUUUAUUGAAGGUAGUCAUUUAUUGAUGAUCUUCAGGAAAGAGGACCAUUAUGUUGCAUUAUGGUAGUUUUGACUUGCAUGUAUUCAAAUUUUCUCAGAAAUUGACAGGAAAAAAAAAUGGAUGUUCUCUAGAUUGUCUUUAAUAGAUUGACAAAGACCAAUUUAAACUGAAGGAAUUUGCAGGUACAAUUCUACACCAUUUUUUUGAAGAGUUUUGAAUUUUCAGAACACCGAGAUAAUGUUACUUGACCUUAUUGUAUGUGUUCCUAAUAUAGUCCAGCUAAACAUUCAUUCAUAUAAAAUUAAGGCUGAAAACUUAGAAUGAUUGAGAUCUGUAACGUCAUGAUUGAGAUCUGUAACGUCUUGCAGAGCCUGAUAGGUAAAGACAAUUUAGAGGUUUCUGGGAAGUCAUGUGUUCUACCUGUUGCACAUUAUUUUGGAAAAAAGAGCCCCAAACUUUUCUAUUUUCUCAAGUUAAAAGUGAACUUUUAGGAAUUAGAGAACUGCUGUACCAUGUAAUAAUAUAAUUAUUGGCAGUCAGGAAUGUUUACUUGGUAUAAGAUGUGGGAGUUAUAUACUAAAAUAAGUCUUUAUUAGCGCUUUGGCAGCUAAAAAAUGCUGGAAAACUAUAUUAGAAAACUUUUAGAACAUGAUUGCCUGUUUAAUUUUUUGUAUGAAUGCUUACACAAACUUAUAGUGCAAAUGAUCCUUAAGUUUUCUGAAUCCACACUUCAACUUGAUAAAGAAAGACUUAAAUGUAAACAGCCUCUGACUAUUUUGCAUAACCUUCUAAUGACAAACUUUUUGAAUGGUGUAAAUUUGUUUUACAGCGUUUAAUUCAGAUUGUUAUAUAUCUUUGAAGUAGUUGAUGUUGAUAGUUUUGUUUGAGACUGUUACAUACACUCAUUAACUCCCUUCUUCAGAGUAAUAUUAACAUUUGUAGAGAUUGGUCAGGAUAAUGUGUUUUGGUUACCUAUUUAAUCAUAAAAGUCAGUUUUAAUACAACCCUCUGACUGUGAAAAGGACUAAUUUGUGUCCAGGGUUAAAAUCUUCAAGGGUAAGCUAUAAAACAGCCUUUGGCGUUGUUGUCAUGGAGAGUACCACAGAAACAAAACAUUAUUCUUCCUCUUAGUAUUCAUACUGGGGUUUUGUGGUGUGGUUUUUUUUCAAUUAUUUUUUUUAAAGGCUAUAUUACUGUAUAAUAUGGAUUAUAAUGUCCUCCUAAUAAGAGAGCUUGAUCACUUAAGAAGUUACUAUGCUAUAGCACUGAAUUAAGGAAUUUAAAUAAAAAACAUGGUUUAGCUUAAAUAGGCAUGUUCCAUGUUUGAGUAAACCUGAUGAUGAUAUAAAUCAUAACCAGGGAAAAUGAAUUGCAUCCUUUUUCCUUGUAGGAAAGAAACUUGUUUCUUCUGUUUAAGUAGCUUGAUAACAGGUGGCUUCAUGUUGCAGCACAGAGUACAGUAAAUAAAUGCCUGACUUCAAAGAUUGUUGUUAUCAAAUCGUAUAAAUGAUGUCUAUGGGGAGUAGGAAAUUUUUCCAGGAAAGAUUCUGUGUCUGAUUUUGAGUCCAACCUUUUUCCUUUCAGGAGGACAGAAAAACAAAAAAAAAGUCAUAGAAUGCUGAGUAGCAGGUGUUUAAUACUUUUUUUUUUCCCUCUUUUUGUUUUCGUUUUCCUUCUAUGAAUUGCCUUUUUUUCAUUUUUUGUAAUUAUAGCCAGUUGUAAAUAGUGACUUGAGUUUUCUUGCUUUUUAUCUUAUUUUUGUCUUGGUUUUUUGUUUUGUUUUGGUUUGGGUUUUUUUUGGUGGAAUCUUUGGAGUAUAGUUUUAGCAUAGAUUUGAAGAGUGAGAUGCUUAACAAUGUGCUUAGAAAAAAACUUUAACGUGGUGUAGAGCUCUUAAGUUGUAUUUAAAAAAAUCACUUAAUGACAAGCCUGUAAAUUUCUUUGGACAGAAUCAAAAUGUAGGACUAUUAAGGCAGUAAUGUUUUCUUGAUUUGUUUCUUAAGAUGUAGAAUACAGAUCUGUUACAUAUUUAGUUUUGGCUCAGGCUGGAAACCUGAAACUUUUGACUUAAUAAAAGAACUGAAGUGGUCAGUGGAACUCUUUCAAGUAUGAGCCUUCAUUUUUUUUUCUUUUUUUGUUUGUAAUCAGUAACCAAGUAAGUUACUGAGAAAUCUGAGAUAUGGACCUUAAUAUGAUCAAUACUGUGUAAAAACACAAGUCGAACUAGGAUCCAUUAAAACUGACAUUUCACUGCUCAAGUUAGGAGGAGAGCAUGUGUCUCAGUCACUUCAGAACUGUGAUAUCAAGCAGAUGUGUACUGAACUGUUGAAAAUUAAACUUGAAAUGUACUGCCAUUUUCACCAAAUCCUUCUCCCAGCUGUAUUCAACAAGACACAGGGAGAAGAAAAGCGUAUAAGUCAUAUACUGGGUGUCAGAAGUGAUGUGAAAUUAAGGGGUUUGCUGUGGUCAUGCAAAUAAAUCUAGAAUGCUGUCUGAAGGGGCAUCUGGCAUUUUAUUAUUUUCUUCAGUCUCUAAAGGUUUCUUAAAGCAACUUCACUGUAAUAACUUUGAAUUCACAAAAUAAUGCUGCUUUUUUAAGUGUAAGCCUUUUGUUUUUCUGUAAUAAAAACAUUUAAAAGA